rnacentral:lncRNA from 1 species
GAUAAUGUGUUUGUUUGUGAACCACUUAGUACUAGCCAAAAAGUGAGGAAACCUCAAAUAUUUGUACUAUAUGCAAGGAGACCGGCAUUCAUUGUUUUAACUCGGUCAUUUUAUGUUAAAUCUAAUAUUUGUUUUAAAUUGUGUAAAGACAUGGAAAGGAUCAAGGCAUAUUUUGUUUAAUGAGAGAAACAUACUUGACCACAAAUAGCCUACCUUGUGAGAAGAGCGAGUAUUUGUUAACCCACUUGAGCCAAAUGAAGCAAGGUCCUCAAUUAUGAACUGUCAAUUCAUAAGCACAAUGCUUGAUGAAUUCGCCCUAUAUUUUUCAAAAUCCAGUUCAUUUUUGUUGCACUAUCGGACCUUGAUAUGUUUUAAUUGUUGAACCCUAAACCUUCAUUGUUAUUUGUCCCUUUUUGCCAUAGAUUAAGGGAACAUUCAAAUAGGGUAUGUUUUCAUUCAAGUUGGGGAGAAAAGGUAGAUGUUCAUCAUUUGUCAAGUGAAUUGGUGUAAUCAGAAAUUUUGAUCAAGACAACAUUGUUUGUAUAUGAAAAAAGAAAGAAAAAGAAAAAUGUGUACAUGAUAAAAACAAGAAAAGAAGAAAAAGAAAAAGAAAGAAAAAUCCAAAAAUAGAAUAAGUUGUCAAGAUCAAGGAGUAUCAUGUUUUAACACCAAGGGUUUGUUAGGGAAUUCUAGUAAAUUUGUCUUUUGAAUGUGAAUAGAAGGAAUGUUCCCUUAUGCUUGACCAUUUGAAUUCAAUUGACCCACAAAUGUCCUUUCUUUUGUAGCCAAGCCAAAUUACAACCCUAAAAGACCUUUUGAUCCAUGUUUUUAUGCUUUUUGAAAUGAUAAUUGGAUGGACAUAUAACUUGAUUUGGAUGUUAACUUGAUUGCCGGAUGUGUGUUCAUAACCCUCACUCAUUUGAUUUCAAUUGCAUAUCUACUUACAAAGAAGUGUGUUAGGUGUGGUUCGUGAAUAAAUGUUUUAUUGACUUGAACUAUUUGACAUGAACUUUGUGCAUAGAACUCAUUUCAUAUUUGUGGUAGAAUUCCAGAUUAGUUGGAAACUCAGACUUGCCCGCGCAUUCUCUUUGAAUCAUUCAUCUAAAAAUGUUUUCAAACCUUUUGUACUUGUGUCUUGUCAUAUUAACUUGUUUGAUUUUCAAGAUUUUGUUUGAGGACAAACAAAGAGUUAAGUUGGGGAGAGUUUGAUAAGUGCUAGAAAGUUGUAAUUUAAGUGAUAUAUUUUAGGCACUUUUGUUACUUGUUUUGCAAGUUAUUAAGGGAAAAGCCGAGAAAUAAGUGAUUAUUGCCCUUUUACGCUUUAUCUAUCUUACUUCACCCAUUUGUGCAGGAUUCGAACUCAAGACAUCAAGCAAAGAGAAGAAAAUCGAGAAAAGUACAAAAAGGCAGAAAAAGGAGAUCACUCGCCUCCAACUCGCCAUGGCAAGCAGCAAAGGCGAGCAAUUCCAGAAUGCAACAAAGAUCACACGCCACCAACUCGCAAUGGCGAGUAGAAGGCGAGCUUACUCGCCAUGGCGAAUGGAAGGACUCGCGAGGCGAGUAAGGGCGGUUUAGCCUCUAAAUGCUGACGUGGCACAAACCCAAUGGGGAAGAAACUUCAACUCGCCAUGGCGAAUGAAGCAGCUCGCGAGGCGAGUGAAGGCAGACUCAGAAUUCUAUAAAUAGCCCACUCAACCAUUUCAGAGGGAGAUAGUUUUUACAUAGUUUUUCACUUAGUUUCUCUCUGUGUUUUCACUUGUAAUAUUCUUAGAGAGAGAGAGAUAGGGCUUGUGCUUUAUAGAGUGAGAGUGAUAGAGAGUGGAUUCUUCAUCCUUUGUUGAGACAUCACAAGUUGUAAUGAAUCUUGCUUCUUCAAUUCAUUCUUGCAAGGCUUCCAUGACAAUGAGUAGCUAAAUCUCCUUUGUUGGGAUUAGAGGUACUUGAUCAUAGUUUAACAUGUAAUCGUUUGAUCUAUAAANNNNNNNNNNNNNNNNNNNNNNNNNNNNNNNNNNNNNNNNNNNNNNNNNNNNNNNNNNNNNNNNNNNNNNNNNNNNNNNNNNNNNNNNNNNNNNNNNNNNUUUGAUGAAGAUAGGCAUUAAUAGCUGCAGAUGCCCCAAGGGGGACGGUGGUUGGCCAGAUAUAGUUACUUGCCUUUUGUUUCAAUCUUAUUUUUGCAUGAACCGCCCUUCCGGGUUUUCGGUUCAUCGAGACGCUCAUUCUUGCCUGAGUUGCGUACAAUCUCAGCGAGCUUUUCAUAUUUGUUUUUUGUCCCUUAUUUUUGCCUGGACCGCCCUUUCGGGUUUUCGAUCCACCGGGAAGCGCAUUUUUGCCUAGGCCGCCCUUUCGGGUUUUCGACCUACCACGCUGUUCUUUUCACAUUUCUAGGCAAAGUAUUUCUUGACUAUAUCGGCAUUCACUGGAUUUGGAAGCUCUACACCAUCCAUGUGUGUAAGGAUUAAAGCACCACCGGAGAAGGCCUUCUUGACAACAUAAGGACCUUCAUAGUUAGGCGUCCACUUGCCCCUUGGGUCGGGUUGCUGGCUUACCCUCCUUUUCAAUACAAGUUCCCCUACCUUGAAUUCUCGAGGAUGGACUUUCUUGUCAAAAGCAGUCUUCAUUCUUGCUUGAUAUGACUGUCCACGAGCCAUGGCAUCCAUACGUUUUUCCUCAAUCAAAUUCAACUGAUCAUACCGGCUUUGGCACCAUUCAGCCUCAGAUAACUUUGCUUCCAUGAUCACACGGAGAGAUGGGAUCUCCACUUCCAAAGGAAGAACCGCUUCCAUACCAUAUACAAGAGAGAAAGGGGUUGCCCCGGUUGAACUGCGCACGGUAGUGCGGUAGCCAUGCAGAGCAUAGGGUAACAUCUCAUGCCAGUCCUUGUAAGUGGUUACCAUCUUCUGGACAAUUCUCUUGAUAUUCUUAUUGGCGGCCUCAACUGCACCAUUCAUCUGAGGUCUAUAGGGAGAAGAGUUAUGAUGCUCAAUUUUGAAUUCUUCACAAAGAGCUUGCACCACAUUGUUGUUCAGGUUGGUACCAUUGUCGGUAAUAAUCUUGCUGGGAACACCAUAUCGACAGAUGAUGUUGUUCUUGAUGAACUUAGCUACCACUUGCUUGGUCACAUUGGUAUAAGAUGCUGCUUCAACCCAUUUGGUAAAGUAGUCAAAUGCCACUAAGAUGAAACGAUGACCAUUCGAAGCCUUCGGUUCAAUCCUUCCAAUCAUAUCGAUGCCCCACAUUGAGAACGGCCACGGGGAUGACAUAACAUUGAGAGCGUGCGGAGGCACAUGAAUCUUAUCAGCAUAGAUUUGACAUUUGUGACAUUUUCUGGCGUAUUGGUAGCAAUCAUGCUCCAUGGCCAUCCAGUAGUAACCUGCCCGUAGCAACUUUCUUGACAUAGUAUGCCCUGUAGCAUGGGUCCCGAAGGUACCGUCAUGUACAUCAUGCAUUAACUGCUCUGCUUCAUGUUCAUCAACACACCUUAACAAUACCAUGUCAUAGUUUCUCUUGUACAGAAUAUCUCCAUCUAACAGGAAUCUACUGGCCAAUCUUCUCAAGGUCUUCUUGUCUUGUUUGGAAGCACCCGGCGGAUACUCACGGCUCAGCAAGAACCGUUUGAUGUCGUAGUACCAGGGUUUAUAGUCAACCACAUUUUCGCCAGCCUGAUCGAUCACAUCCCCAAUAGCAAACACAUGGGAAGGUCUUUCAAGGCGUUGCACUUUGAUUAUUGGCACAUCAUUCCAAUGGUUUACUCGAAACAUGGAGGAUAGAGUAGCAAGAGCAUCAGCCAUUUGGUUCUCAUCACGAGGAAUAUGGUGCAGCUCAACCUUUGUAAAAUAUGUCAGAAGACGUCUCGCAUAAUCACGAUAAGGAAUCAACUUAGCAUGGUGGGUCUCCCAUUCACCCUUUAUCUGAUUGAUGACGAGCGCAGAAUCUCCAUAGAUGUCGAGGUGUUUGAUUCUCAUGUCAAUUGCUUCCUCGAUCCCAAAGAUACAUGCUUCAUACUCAGCCAUAUUGUUGGUACAUUCGAACAGAAUUCGGGCGGUAAAGGGAAUGUGAUGCCCUUGCGGGGAUACAAUGACUGCCCCAAUUCCUUUGCCAUAAGCAUUGACAGCACCAUCAAAGACUAAACCCCACUUGCUAUUGGGAUCUGGACCCUCAUUAAUCAACGGUUCGUCGCAGUCUUUGGAUUUCAAAUACAUGAUCUCUUCAUCAGGGAAAUCGAAUUCAAUUGGUUGGUAAUCAUCAAGAGGUUGAUAAGCAAGGUGAUCGGCAAGAAUGCUGCCUUUGAUUGCCUUUUGAGUUUUGAACACAAUAUCAUAUUCAGACAAAAGCAUCUGCCAGCGUGCGAUCUUCCCAGUAACGGCCGCUUUCUCAAAGAUAUACUUUAUCGGAUCCAUUCUGGAUAUCAACCAAGUUGUAUGAUUCACCAAAUAAUGGCGCAGGCGUUUGGCAGCCCAAGCUAAAGCACAACAAGUCUUUUCAAGCAUUGUAUAUCGAGUUUCACAAUCGGUGAACUUCUUACUUAGAUAGUAGAUAGCAUGCUCUUUCUUUCCGGUUUCAUCUUGUUGACCAAGUACACAUCCCAUGGAUUCAUCAAAUACUGCCAAAUACAUAAUCAAAGGCCUUCCUUCCACGGGUGGGACAAGGAUAGGUGGUUCCAGCAGGUAAUUCUUGAUGCUAUCAAAAGCUUCUUGGCAUUCAUCAUUCCAUACAACAGGCUGGUUCUUUCUAAGUAGCUUGAAAAUCGGCCCGCAGGUUGCAGUCAUGUGAGAUAUGAAUCGGGAGAUGUAAUUCAAACGUCCCAAGAAACCUCUGACUUGCUUCUCUGUCUGUGGAGCUGGCAUUUCUCGGAUGGCCCGGACUUUAUCAGGAUCGACUUCAAUGCCCUUUUGGCUGACAAUGAAGCCUAAUAACUUUCCGGACCUGACACCGAAUGUACAUUUGUUGGGAUUCAAUCGCAGCUUGUAUUUUCUCAACCUUUCAAACAUCUUUGUUAAAUAUUCAACAUGCUGCUCCUCAUCUGCUGACUUCACAAUCAUGUCAUCCACAUAUACCUCAACUUCUUUGUGAAUCAUGUCAUGAAACAGAGUGGUCAUUCCCCUUUGGUAGGUAGCACCGGCAUUGAUUAGGCCGAACGGCAUCACUUUGUAACAGAAAGUACCCCAUGGAGUGAUAAAAGAUGUCUUUUCUCUAUCUUCAGGAGACAUUUUGAUCUGAUUAUAACCGGAAAAACCGUCCAUGAAGGAGAACACCUUAGAUUGAGCAGUAUUAUCAACAAGCACGUCAAUAUGGGGUAACAGAAAGUUGUCUUUUGGACUGGCUUUGUUCAAGUCCCUGAAAUCAACACACAUCCGAACUUUACCAUCCUUCUUCGGCACAGGCACAAUAUUGGCAACCCAUUCGGGAUACUCAACUGUCAUGAGGAAACCCGCAUCGAUCUGCUUUUGAACUUCAUUCUUCAUCUUGAGGGCCAUGUCAGGAUGAGUCCUCCUCAAUUUCUGCCUGACGGGAGGACAUUCAGGCUUGGUAGGGAUCCGAUGCUCCACGAUCAUAGGGUCUAGACCUGGCAUAUCUUCAUAGGACCAUGCAAAAAUAUCCGGAUAUUCCCGGAGGAGUUGGAUGAUCUUCUGUUUAACCCCUUCCUCUAGAGUAGCACCAAUCUUGAUUUCUCGCUUGUUUUCCUCGGUACCUAUGUUGAUAAGCUCAAUCUCUUCUUGGUGAGGCUGAAUGGCUUUCUUUUCUUGCUCAAGUAGCCGAGUGAUCUCAUACGGUAUGCCAUCACCUUCCUCAUCUUCGGCUUCAUACACAGGGAAAUCAAAACUUGGAGGAACCGUAGGAUUACUGUGUUCAACGGGUUUAUUAUGGUUCAACCUGCAUAUAAUGAUUGGAUGAUUUUAGAAAGAGUUUUUUUUUCAUGCAGAUUUUUGAAAUUAAUAAGAAAAUACAGACGUUUUGGUUUUUUCUGGCAUUACCAUUGUUUCCAAGGGAAAAAGCACUAAAAGAAAAGUAGUCGUGGAAGAAACGACAAAAUUUUAUUAAUCAACGGCAAUGCCGAAACAAACAUGCCCUUACAGAAAAUAUCACUCUCGCUUUGGGCAGAGCGAGGGGAUUGUUAUUUUGAAAACAAAGCACUAAAGCAACAAGACACAUUACUCAGAAACAUGCAUGAUUGAAGGAAUGUCAAUGGCAUCCCAAUUUGUCGCAAUGCCUCCUGGUGUAACAAAAACAGGCCUGAGACCAGAUCCAGUGGCUUCUUCAGAGAUAGCAUUAACAAACCCUGCACUGUGGAAGACUCCCGAGGAAACCCUUGAUGACGGGGAGAACCCGAGACGGGGGUUACGCUUGUUCUCACAGAGCUGUAGCGCCUUGCCCCAGCCGGCAGUCUGACCUUCUUGGAUGGCUCUCUGAGCAUCUUUCAAUGAAGCCAUAGCAGCCCCAGCUUCCUUAGACUCUGCACCUUCGAUGGUCAAACCUUGGAAAGCAGUCCCUUCAGCAGACCCUGCUUCAACACAAGAAAAAGAAGACAACUGGCUGACUAAGUAUGCUUCUUCACCAUGGAUUGUAACGAGUUUUCCAUUCUUCACAAAUUUCAACUUCUGAUGUAAGGUGGAAGUAACCGCACCUGCAUCGUGUAUCCACGGUCUCCCCAGCAGGCAACUGUAGGAUGCAUUAAUGUCCAUCACUUGGAAGGUAACCAAGAAAUUCUCAGGGCCAAUAGUUAUCGGCAAGUCUAUCUCUCUCAGCACAUUCUUUCGAGAUCCGUCAAAAGCUUUGACCAAGAAAGUACUUCUCCUCAACGGGGUCCCGCGGUAGCUCAACUGAUCUAGAGUUGUCUUGGGCAUUACAUUGAGAGAGGAACCGGUAUCCACCAACACAUUUGAUAUCAUGCCUGAUUUACAAUUCACCGAGAUGUGCAAAGCCAGAUUGUGACCCUUUCCCACUUCUGGCAACUCUUCUUCACUGAACCAGAGGUUGUUACAAGCAGUAAUAUUUCCUACUAUGCCACCGAAACGAUCUACCGUAACUUCGUGGUCAACAUAUGCCUGCUCCAGCACUUUCAACAAAGUAUUCCUGUGAGCCUCAGAGCUCAAGAGUAGCGACAAGACAGAUAUCUUCGAAGGAGUUUGCAGCAAUUGAUCAACGAUCUUGUAGUCGCUCCUCUUUAUUAUUCUCAGAAUCUCGUCUAAAUUUGAAUCCUCUAUAGAUUUGCCUGGCUGAUUCACAUCUGUAGCAAUGGGUGGAACAACGGUUGAAGUUGCUUCUUCAAUUGGUGGGAUGGUCGGUGUAGCUACCUUCUUCUGAAAUAACGGCGGACGAACCUUCCCGCUUCUCAGCGCUGCAGAAGUCCCUUCGGCAAUAUUGCUUACUGUGGCAAAGGAGGCUAGAGGCACCUCUACUCCAUUUUCUAUCAUAGUGGCAUUGUACUUGUAUGGCACUGCCUUGUCCGAAGCAUAAGGAAUUGGUCCUGGCAACCUUAUUACCAAAGGCUCAGCAUUCUUCUUCAAAGGUACACUCUUGACAGGCGGAUCGUGAAAAACCGGCACAACCACGCAAACAUCACUGACAGUCAGAAGAUUAUCAUUCAUCAAGCUUUGGAUGUCGUCUUGAACAGCAUGGCAGCCCAAAGGAUCUCGGAGGCAUCCUAGACACUUGGCAUGAUCAUGGCUGAACAGAGAAGCUUUGCACAGCUUGAUGUGCAGAGGCACCAGAGGAGUAGCAACAUUGCGGACAUCAAGUCUAGGAGCUUCCUCACACACUUCGAUCAUAUUCACAGCGGCAUGAUUUGGUAGUGGAUUGUCGAGGACAUGUGGAACAUUGUUCUCAAAAGUCAGCUUUCCCUGAUCAAUGAGUUUCUUCACGAUAUACUUCAAAGCAUAACACCCCUCGACAUCAUGACCUAAGGCACCUUGAUGAAAGUCACAUUUGAGAUCAGACCUGAACCUUGGAGGCAACGGAUCAGGUGGUGGCUUGCCUUGUCUAGUCGUACAAUGCCCUCUCUGGAGUAGAGUUGGAAGCAACUCAGCAUACAACAUUGGUAUAGGAGGAAAAGUUGGCCUAGUAUACUGCUGCUGCUGCUGUUGUUGUUGUUGUUGAACCGGCAACUGUUGUUUCAUCUGUUGGGCAAUUGCAUUGACGGGCACUUGAGGCUGGCCCGGUGGCAAAGGGUACUGAUGAUAAAACGGUGGGAAGAACGGAUGCUGAGAAUACGGCAUAUAUGGGUAUGACGGAGGCAUUUGAGCUGCAUUGAUAGGAGCAACGGUAGCCAUAGAUUGACCGGCUGCAGCUGACACCAUUCCCACUUCCGUUUCUUUCUUCUUGUGGUGUCCAUUACCAUACCUUUUCGAUGCACUCGUAGAAGAUUCAGCUUUCUCAAACACAAUGAUCCCAUCUCUGACUGCUUCCUCAAGACGGGUUCCCAUAGUGACCAUCUCCGAAAAGUUGUUCGGGGCAGCGAUGAUCAUCCUCUCAACAUAAUCUUUCUUCAAGGUCUUUAAGAAUGUCUGGGUCAUUUCUUCUUCAUCUAAAGCAGGAGUGAUACGGGCAGCUGCCCCUCUCCACCUUUGCGCAUAUUCACGGAAACUUUCCUCCUUUUUCUGAGAUAGGGACCUGAGAAACUCCCUAUUCGGCUUCAAACGAGUGUUAAACCCGUAGUGGCUCCUGAAAGCGGUGGCUAGCUCAUCAAAAGUAUGGACAUCGUCUUUGCUCAGACUAGUAUACCACUCUGCAGCAUCCUCCAUCAGACUGUCUUGGAAGUAAUGGAUCAUAAGGGAAUCAUUGUCCUUGUAGUUGCCCAUUUUCCGGACGUAUUUGACAAUAUGAUUUUGAGGACAAGUCAGCCCGUUAUACUUGUCGAACUCCGGGACUUUGAACUUUUUUGGAACAUCUACCUUCGAUACUAAGCAGAGGUCCUGGGUUUUAAUGGAGUCUCCAUUUCCCCUGUUGGCCUUAAUUUCCCGUCGGAGCUCUUUGGCAAGUUCUUCCAUUCUCUCUUCCAUAGUUCCGGUUGUGGUAAUACUCCCGUGGUGUGCAUUAGCAUGGACAAAUAGAGGCACCGCAUUCACAAUGGGCUCGGUAACAGUCGUUGCAGCUUGAGUCAAGGCAGUACUAACAGGAGUUAAGUUUGCCCCUGGGAUUGGGCCACUGUUGGUAGUACCAGAGGUCCCUGCCCCUGUAUUAGCAGUAUAGUACAGUGGAAGCCCGUAAGGAUACCCGGAUGGCAUGAUAGAGCGGGGAUCAGUUGUUACAGUAGGAGUCACAUUUGCAGCUGUAGAAACUACAGGAACUGGUUGUUCCUGAGCAGCCAACAGAGCAGUCAUAGCAUCAUGAGCUUUGGCCAAUUCCUCCCUUAGAGAUGCCAAUUCGGUACGGAGCUGUGUGUUCUCUUCUUCCAUAGCCCUUUUCUUUCUUCUGUAUUCUCUGGUUCGAUCAAUUCUAUCAGGUUCGUAAACUCUCUGAGCACGAGCCACUUUUCACACUGCGGCAGAGAAACCAGGAGGUGGUAAGCACUUGGAAGCCUUUGUGACCGAUGCAUGAUGCAUAUGAUGCAUGAUAUGCAAAUGCAAAUGCGAAAGACUUAUUUUUUCAUCGAAGGAUUUUUAAACAAAUUAGAAAUUUUGCAAAUAAUCAAAACUACAUAGCAUUUUCAAAAGGAAGACUUUGAAAUUUCAACAAGAUAAACAAAUGAAGCCCUCAAGCAUAAGAAGUAGUCGGAAGAUCAUCGGACUCGGAAUCUGAAUCACAGUAUCUAUCAAAGAAGUCUCGUCGUCCUCGAGCUCUCUUGGAGUCCCUCAUAAGCAGCUCAUCUUUCUCUUCCAAUUCCCUCCGGGCCUUAGCUAGCUCUUUCUUCAACAUUAAAUUCUCAUGAGUCUUCUGCUCAUCUCUACCAUCCAAAGUCAUGAUUAGAUUCUCGGCUUGAUUAUACCGAGCUUUCCACACUUGCUUCUCACGACUCUCCAUAGCUAGAUGCUCCUGAUACAUAUCCUGAGUCGCGGGGAGUAGAGGUAGAGGCAUAGAUGGAGUAGACGAAGACACGUAUCUCAUAGCUGGAUAAGGCAUACCAAUCUCCUCAGCUCGAUCUAUCACCCACUGAGUAUAGGCCUCAUGAGCAACACCGGAUCUCACACCUAGAUGCUUCACACUCUUCCUUCGAACCUUGGACCAAGCAUCCAUGAAAGCUUUCCUUUGUCCGGUAGGAGCAUUCGCAUAGAAGAAGAACUCUGGAGAUGUAGCAAGAUUGAUGGGCUUCGACUUCAUAGGGAAACCAAACUGUCUCAUAGCAAGCUCGGGAUUGUAGUUAAUUCCUCCCCGAGUACCAAGAAGAGGUACAUUGAGAAAGUCUCCACAACCCAUAAUGAUUUCCUUCACCUGAGCGGCCGGAGUGAGCCAGACGACCUCAUUAGGAGUGAAGGCCAUAAUCCGCUGCGAGUAGGACCAGUUCUCCGAGUUAUCAUGGAAGGAACUCGGAAGGUGCGAAAUAAACCACCUAUACAAAAGAGAUGUGCAGCAAAGAAUAUACCCACGGCCCUUGAGAGUCCUGUCAUGAAUGGCGUGGUAAGUAUCCGCUAGCAAAGUAGGAACCGGGUUCUUGGAAUGAAAGAUCUCGAUAGCAUUCAUGUCCACGAAGUUGUCGAGGUUCGGAAAGAGAAUGAGCCCGUAGAUAAGCAAAGCAAGAAUAGCCUCGAGUGUAUCCUGACGAGUAGUACCGAGAUUAGCCUGAUCAAGAAGAUACUUUGAAGUGAACCCGCGGAUGUGAGAUUUGGUAAUAAGAUGGUUGGAGACGUCGGAAGUCUUGAGGUAGAGGUCCUUAGCAAUAACCAGAGGAGUAAGAGAAGUCCCGGGACCGGUGAAAGGCGUCUUCUCGGCUAUAGGUAAACCCACUAGAUUGGAGUAAGCCUCGAGAGUAGGAACCAACUGGAAAUCCGGGAAAGUGAAGCAACGGAAGCUUGGAUCAUAAAAUUGCACUAGAGUGUGCACUAGCUUCUCGUCCACAUCGGUUCGGAGCAAAGUAAGCAAUCCCCCAUAUCGGAGUCGGAACCCUGUUUGACUCUUGACCUUGAGUGCCAACUCUCUUAAACUAACCAAAUCCACUUCCUUGAACUUGUAGCACUUAGUCUUCUUCAUACCUGUGAUUAUUUACAAAAAUUCUCAUUUGUUUAAACCCUUCGAUGAAUGCAUGAAAAAUGUUUAUGCAUGAAUGCAUGUAUGCAUGAUUGUUGUUUUAGUUACGAUGUGGGUUGAGAUCCAAAGUAACAAGGCCACGGAUGGACACGGCGUCCGGUGAACUAAGGCUUUAGAUAAUAGUAACCAAGGUUCUAACACAGUUCCCAAACUGCAACCUCUCUCACAUAUAUCAUGGUAGUACAGGACGACACCCGUUCCAUGAGUAUUUGUAAGAAGGUCUAGUUUGAGUGUAGUAUCGCGUGACGACUAAAGUUUGAGACAACACUCAAUUUAGCCACCGCACUACGUCCUAAAAAGGCUAGGAUGGGUUUGGUAACUACAGUUCAUAGCUUCGUCGAACAAUUGAAAGUGAAGUGCCUAAGCAUGACAACACACGCCGACAAUAUCACCUUCAAAAUGCCUCAGCUAUGUGAGAUUGAUCGCAUAAUCCAAUACACGAGGCAACCCCCGGAUCGAAUUGUCGAUUAUAUCUCUACCUAAUCAUAAGUUCACUCAGCCCGGGUAUAGGACUUUUGAUAUUCUCACCCCACACGUCAAAUGAAGGUAAACAAGUAUUCACAUGUGUAAGCAAUAAAAUAAAGCAUAAAUAUAAACUAAGGAAAACUAGGCGCGACCCGCUAAAAAGAUUCCCCAGUGAAGUCGCCAUUUCUGUUAUCAUGGUUUUUGGGUGCCAAGCCAUUAAUUGGACUUGUACCUUUCGACCGUUGAUAUCUCUAUUUUUUCUUGGGAAGGGCAAAAUUGAGAAAAAAACCCUUAGAUUCUAAGUUCGGGGGUCGGUUUUACUACGGGAAGGUGUUAGGCACCCGGAGUAACUAUAGUCCUCUAUAGGAGCCGUUUUCCUAAGUCUAUAUUCACGCUUAUUUUUACUUACCUUUGAAAAUGGGAGGUUUAUUUAGUUAAGAAUGGGGGGAGAGAAGUUGUAAGACUUUGAUUUUAUUUCGGCUUGGAUGAGUUUUGACUCAUUGCCUACGUACCGUUUUACGGGAUCAAAACCGGCGUAGUUCUUGCUAAAAAGACUUGUUUUUCUUUUGGUUUAAUUGUUUGAUUUUAAGUUUUUAAAAAAAAAAAGGUUUUGAAGAAGGGGAAUGGGAGGGCUUCAUGAGCAUUAGAUUUAGCAAAAAAAAAAUGAGGUCUGAUUAGUGAUUUAGAAAGAAAGUCUAAAUGCUUAAGAUGAAUUGAAUUUUUCUUAAGAAAAAAAAGAAAGGAAAAAAUGAAGUGUUGACUUCAUACUUAUUAUGAAAAUUUUUGAAGUGAAGUUCAAUUGUUUUUUUUUGAAAAAGAUGGAUUUUCCCUAAGUGUUUAAAACCUAAACGCUUAUUUAACCAUACAAUCCUAUGCAUACAUCUAAGGUGAGUGUGUGCGUGUCGGUGCGUCAUAGUGUCCAUAGUCCAUAUUACAACAUUGCCUAAAUACAUUCUAUGGCCCCUUUGCCAAGCUACAAACCAAUGGUAAAAUAUUACAUCACCGAAUGAAUUACAAUUUGUAAAAAAAAGAAAACUAAACUAACGGAGGCAAUAGUGAAGAUAAUGAAGUGCUAUGAGGUGAUCAAUCAUGAAAGGAAAUGUUAGUAGAAAACGGUAAAAGAUUAUGGCAUAAAGCAAUAGAAGAAAGUAUGGCAUAAGACGGUUAAAGUGACGAUGAAAAUAAACCGGAAACAUGUGAUGAAUAAUGCGCAUGAUGCAAGAAUAACACUCAGCACAUCAAAACAGUGACAUAUGCAUAGCAAAAUUCACAUGGGAUAGUAUGCAAAUCAGACAUGACGAAUACGAGCAUUAUGUACGUGAAGUAACGGGUAGAAAUGCGAGAAAAAUGACUUAAAAUAGUAAAAACCCUUGACAAAACAACACUAAAAUUUUUAUCAACUUUUCCAAGUAAAAUACCACUGAAAAUUAUCAAGAAAAAUAGUAAAAUGACGUGGUAAAUUUCUUGGAAUUUAUUGAUAAAAACUAACAUGAACGAAGGGUGCAAACAGCAGGCAAGUAUGGUGCAAGUAGCAAAAAAAAGCAAAAAACGUGAAAGCAGACUAAGCCCAAACCUAAAGCCCACACUCAAAAGAUCCGGAUGCACAGGGAGCGUUGGAUUGAUCCAGGGAAGGAAACCCUAGAUCCAACGCUCAGGAUUGAAGGGAUUGGACCGGUCUUGAACCGGUCCGGUUUAGUUGUCUAUAAAAGAGAAUUAGCACCGGUUUAAAUCAUUUUCACUCCCCUUUCUCUCUCUACACUCAGAGCUUCUCUCUCAUCUCUCACCUCUCAUCAUACUUCCUCACCGGAGUUGAUGAAGCCACGGCGGAAACCUAGGUGGUUCGCCGGAAGCUUCAUCUUCUCCGGUGAACCAGCGCCCAGAAACCAACCAAACUUGCACCAAAACCUUCGCCUCCUUCUUCUAAACACGAAUCCGUAAUCUGUUUUCAUAUUUGAAACGUGAAUCAACGCAGAUCUGGUAUUUUCUUUUACGGUUUCAGAAAGUUGAGUUUUCGUUUUUUUUUGAUAAGAUUCUAUGGAUUCGGCACAGAUCUUCGUUGAUUCACUUGGAUUGAUGUUUUUCGAAAGAGAUGAAGUGAACAAGGGCUUUAAACGAUGUGGAUCUAGAACUUUGGCGCGACGUGAAACUGUUUUGAGGUUUUUUAUCUUUUUGAAUUGAAACAUUUUGAUUCGUACAGAUCCACAUCACGUUGGUCUCGCCACUUAUCUUGAUGAAGAAAAACUGAGAUGAAACGUUUUUUGCUUACGAUGUAGAUCUUAUUGAUUUCAGUUUCGGUUUCAAAGGUGUUUUUUGGUUUUCGAAUUUUCUUAAACCAAAACGUUUUUUAUCACUAAGUUCUACAUCGUUUUCCAGUGAUUGAACUUCUUUAUGAGAAAAACGAGGUGUUUGAAGUUAUACCUGAGGUUUUAAUGGAGGUUCUGGUUGAUUUUCUUCAGAAAACCGUGAUCUGCUUGCUGCGUUUUUGAUGAUUUUGUUGUUGAGCUACUGAAAAUAAAUCAGUAUUUGUACGUGAAUCUUCAUCUUCAUCACCGGUUUAAACCUAGCUUCUUCCCUCUUCUUUCUCUUCACUGUUUCCUCGUGAUCAGUGCUUGAGUUCGUCGCGUUGCAGUGAUGAACUCGCACUUUGAAUUGCGAGGAAAUUGAUUCUGUGAUGAUGAUUCCGUGUUGAAUCUCUGAGAACCAACGAGUAAUCAAAGAAACUUUGUUGAAUUCUGUUGAAUUUGGUGUUUUUGUGUUGAUUUGGUGGAAAUCAAUGGUGGAUUGAGGUGAUUAGGGUUUCUGCCAUUGAUGAAUCUUUGAAGCUUUUUGUUGAUUCUGUUUUGAUCUAACAGAAAAGAGAGAGAAAGUUGAAUUCUGUUUUGGAUGAGUUGGCGUGUGAUUAAUGGCUUUGAGUGGCACUGUGCACCUUUUAUAGCAUGACAUGUGUGCCUCUGAACAAAUGAGAAAGUGACACCUGGACCUGAAAAAAAAAGAAUGACACGGCCUUGGACAAAAAAAAAUGAAAUUUGGACCUUCUUGCAAAAAACAAAACUUAAGGACUAAACUGCAAUUGACCAAAAAAAGACUGAAAUGUAAAUUGGAAAGAAAAAAGGACUGAAAUGCAAUUUUGGUACCUCAAAUUGAGGGACCAAAAUGCAAUUAAAAAUAAAAUUGAAUAAAAAGCGUAAUUUGACCAAACGUAAAGCGAAACAAAAUAAAAUUGACAGAACGGACUAAAACGAACCAAUGGCCUAAAUGAGGUACUUCAAAGUAACCUCCCCAUGCCAAAAUUUUAUGUGAAAUGACCAAAAUGCCCCUAGGGCUAAAAACGACCUAAACAGAUUCAAAUUGACCUGACACUGACUCAGACGCAAAUUUGAAAUGAAUUUUAACAAGGUUUACUGAUGAAAUGCAAAAAAAACAAUCUGAAGACUCAGAGACAGUCACAAGGAUGAAAAUGGGUCCCACUGCAGGAAAUGACCAAAAUACCCUUCUGUACGACUUUUUUGCAAAUUUUGAAAUAAACUGUAGAAAAAGCAAUGUAAUGAUUCAGAGACACUUUUGAAUGACUUACAAGGCAAGUAAAGACAUUUCAAAAGGUUUUAUGCAAGAAAAACAUAGGUAAAAUUGUGAUUGAAAAUACUGCGAGGCAGAGACAAUUUGAACUGUGCAGUUGAAAUUUGAUAAUUGACAAAGUUUGAAAAUGAAAUUGGGCCCAGUAUUUUUAGGUCCAAAAACAGGGUAUAACAUUGCUACUACAAGAGUUUGACUUAGAGAUAAAAGAUAAAAAAGGAACAGAGAAUCUUGUAGCUGAUCAUCUUUCAAGGCUCAUGAACAAAGAGGUAACAAAGAAUGAACCGGAAGUUCUCGAAGAAUUCCCGGAUGAAAAGUUGCUAGCUAUUAAAGAAAGACCAUGGUUUGCCGACAUGGCAAACUAUAAAGCAACCGAAUUCAUUCCUGAAGAUUACACUUGGCAACAACGCAAGAGGUUCCUCCAUGAAGCGAAUCACUAUGUAUGGGACGAACCAUACUUGUUUAAAAUUGGAGCAGAUAACCUCUUGCGUAGGUGUGUUGAUAAGGAAGAAGCAAAGAAAAUAUUGUGGCAAUGCCACAAUUCUCCUUAUGGAGGACACUUCAAUGGGGAAAGGACCGCCACAAAAGUGCUUCAAUCUGGUUUCUAUUGGCCGACACUUUUCAAAGAUGCCUACACUCAUUGCAAGUUUUGCGAUGAAUGUCAAAGAACCGGAUCAAUAUCAAAGCGAAAUGAGAUGCCCUUACAAAGUAUUCUUGAAGUGGAGGUAUUUGAUUGUUGGGGUAUUGAUUUUGUUGGCCCGUUCCCAUCAUCAUACUCAAAUGAAUACAUCUUGGUAGCCGUAGACUAUGUCUCCAAGUGGGUGGAAGCCGUCGCAUCGCCAAAAGCCGACAGCAAGACGGUGGUAAAGUUCCUUAAAAAGAAUAUCUUCACCCGAUUUGGAACACCAAGAGUUUUAAUAAGUGAUGGAGGGUCCCAUUUCUGCAACACACAGCUUGCUAAGGCAUUAGACCACUAUGGUGUGAAACACAAGGUAGCAUCGCCAUACCAUCCUCAAACCAACGGCCAAGCCGAGGUUUCAAACCGAGAAGUGAAAAGAAUUCUUGAAAAAACAGUUUCAACAUCUCGGAAAGAUUGGUCGACGAAGCUUGAUGAAGCCUUGUGGGCUUAUAGGACAGCAUACAAGUCUCCUAUAGGUCUCACACCAUUUCAAAUGGUCUAUGGAAAAGCAUGUCAUUUACCGGUAGAGCUCGAACACAAAGCUUUUUGGGCACUCAAAUUUCUGAACUUCGAUCAAGAGAAAGCCGGUGAAAGACGGAAGAUUCAAAUGCAUCAACUUGAGGAAAUGAGGAACCAAGCCUAUGAAUCCUCAAGAUUGUAUAAAGAAAAAAUCAAGAAAUACCAUGACAAAAGGAUUAUGCAGAGAAACUUUAUGCCUGGACAGAUGGUGCUGCUGUUCAAUUCAAGAUUACGACUCUUUCCGGGCAAGUUAAAGUCUAAAUGGUCCGGACCUUUCAUGGUUAAAGAAGUAAAACCAUAUGGUGCAGUAGAGCUUGAAGAUCCAGUUACCAAAGCUAGCUGGACUGUGAAUGGGCAGAGACUCAAGCCCUAUUUUGGAGGUGAGAUUGAUCGGCUUACGUCGACAAUUUCACUUGACAAUCCGUGAACUUAAUGAAAAAGGCGUCAAGCUAAUGACGAUAAACUAGCGCUUGUUGGGAGGCACCCCAAUUUUGUAAGUAUAUUUACAGUUUUAAUGCAUAUUAGGUGUAUGAGUCAUGUGCAUACCAAAAUCAUUCAAAAAUCAGAAGCCAAAAGAAAGCAAUUUGUGAACUGUCACAGCUCGCGAGGCGAGUAAAACAACUCGCCAUGGCGAGUAAACUGGUCAUUGACUGCGUUGACUACCAAAUCACUCGCCAUUGCGAGUAAAUCCGCUCGCGAGGCGAGUAGUAGCAGUUCUGACAGUUACGGAGUCCAAGACCACUAACUCCUUCAUUUACUUCACUUAACCACCCACUACCAACAUUAAUCUCCCAUUUUCGUUUUCUAUUUCUCUCUCAUCAACCAUAUCACAUUUUUUGUCUCUCAAACCCUAAAACAUCAACACUACCCUUUUCCAUUUCAUCAAGUCAAUCCAAGUCAAGCACCUUGCAUACUCAUUUCUGCACUUAGAUUACUUCUGAUUCAGGUUUGUAUCCACUUUGUUUCCAUUCAUUUCAAAUUUUGCAUGAACAAACCUUAGGGUAGUGAAUAGUGUAAAGGUUUAAUACCCAUUGUUGACUGAGAUGAAACAGAAUCAUGCACAAAUUCGUGGUUGUUCUUGUUCCAAACCACAACUUUUGUUAACCCUUUUGUAAAAAUUAAAAAUUAGGGUUUUUGUGGAACAAAUUUGAAAUUCAAUUCAAAAGCAUGAUUUAGUUCAUCUCUAUGUUACUACCAGGGUCGCAAUGGUCAUAUUUAGGGUUAGGAAUCAUGAAACUGAAGAAAUUUUGAAAAAGGUUCGAUUUUUACCAAUUUCUGGGCAACUCGCCAUGGCGAGCUCCAUCACUUGCCUAGCGAGUGUUCAUCUGGAAACCCAGAAAUUCACAUCAACUCGCCAUGGCGAGUACAAUAGCUCGCGAGGCGAGUUGCAUCAGAACCUGAAAUAAUUUUUGUGAAACAAGCCUCUGACACUCCAAUUGCUCUUUAUUGCUUCCAUACUGAUGUUUAAUUAUCUAUUCUAUUGUGUAUGGUAUUUCCUGGUUGUGUUUGCAGGUAUGGCACCCAAGAAACCCGUGAAUACCGGAAAAAGAAAGAAAGGUGAAACAUCCACAUCCCAACCCCCACCUAGAAACCAACCAUUUGACCGAGAGAGAUUUAAAUCUCGUUACCACCAAGACAGAUACCGGGAGUUGCUUAAACAGAGCAUGUGGCCCGAGAAAGUGUUUAACAUAAACCCUCAAGGACCCUACCAAGACCUCUUGAAGCUUUUAACUGACCAAGGGUGGGGAAGACUGCUCCAACCUAUCACCGCAAUCAAUGCUGAGCUCGUGCGUGAAUUUUACGCCAAUGCUCUUCCUGAAAACCUCACCGAGCCAUUUGUCUAUGAAACCUUUGUGAGAGGUCGCACCAUCCGCUUCGAUCGCGAAGCUAUUAACAUCUAUCUCGGUAACAACUUCCCACUAAGUGAUGAGGAUGAGAUGGAUGAAUUCCAUGACAACCAAAAUCGAGGCACCUUUGACAUUGAGCCAAUGAGAGAAACAAUCAAAAGGGCUAUCUUACUAGAGGGUGAAACUUAUGACGUGAGUAAUGCUGGAAGACAUCACAGAGCACAAUAUAAACUCAUGAACAAAACUUGCAAAUUCAUCCUGAAGUUUAUCCUUCACAAUGUCAGACCUAACAGCCACUUGUCCGAUUGCACUGUGGAUGUAUGCCCACUCAUAUACUACAUUCUCAAGGGCUUCAAGGUUGACAUAGCCCGCACAUUAGCAUGGGAGUUAAGGCUGGUCACCCUUCAAGGAAAAAGUGAGCCAAAAACCCGCCUAGCUUUUCCUGGACUCAUCAUGGGCUUGAUUAAAGAUUCACGAAUGAAGUUGCCCAUCGCUGUACAUGAGGAACUCCGGAAUCCCGUUGAUGAUGACUUCAUCAGACGUUACAUCAUGAGUGACCCAAAGCCGGAAAAAGGAAAACAAGCCUCAUCUUCUCAGGCACAUCAUCCACAAUCAGGGUCCGAACCAUUUCAGAUGCCAACCACAACUGCCUUUGACUUUGCCAGCUACACUCAAUGGCAAUACCAGUGCCAUACCCAUACUUGGAAUAUACUGGAACCUACAAACCAUGCUAAUACUUAUCUUCAGCAGUCUCAGUAUUUAGUGCAGAAGCAAGCAGGGUACCCUCCGGAGGUGAUGUCACAAUUCAUGACACCAAAGGCUUUUCAAGCUCAUGUUUCUUGGCCUGAGGGCAGGCCAGAUCCUUACGGAGGGGGUGGCUCAUCGUUCGGGACGCUUUCUGAUGAUAUAUUGAUGGGAGAUUCUGACAGAGACGAUCCAGACAGAGUCCCAAGUGCAACUGGUGGUUCAGAUAAUGAUGACAUGCAGGGUUGAGGAGGAAGAGAAGAGACGUGAAAGCUCACCUUUAUUGAGUGACAUUUUAUAAGCUUUCAUUUCCUUUAUUUGCUUUCGAUUCCAUUUAUUUUGACAAAUAUUUGCUUCUGUUGUUUUAUCUUGGCACUUAUGACUCAUAACUUUGUUUAAUUAUUAUUUUGUUCACUUAUUGUAGGAUAUUAUGUUUAAAACAAUAGCUUUAAUUAGUAUUGUGAUGUUCACAUUGUUCAAAGUUGUAUUGUGUUGUUUUAUAUUAGCACUUUUGGUUUAUAUCAAGUACUUUGUUUUGAAAAUUGUGGAAGUUUCUUUAGUUUAUCACCCUUGCUUAUUGAAAAGAAAAUGCUCAAAGCUUCAAAUUUCAAAGCGCUUGAAAGAUAGCCAAAACUUGAGCAAAAAUUCUCAGAUGAUUGAUUAUGAUAGAUAGUUUGUGAUAAAGCGCAAAGCCAAGGUACAAGUUUCCAGUUUUUCUAGGUUUUUACUUGAAUAGGAAACGAGUACUUUGCACAAAUUUCAAUUCAUUUAGUUCUCCUCGAUAAUGUGUUUGUUUGUGAACCACUUAGUACUGGCCAAAAAGUGAGGAAACCUCAAAUAUUUGUACUAUAUGCAAGGAGACCGACAUUCAUUGUUUUAACUCGGUCAUUUUAUGUUAAAUCUAAUAUUUGUUUUAAAUUAUGUAAAGACAUGGAAAGGAUCAAGGCAUAUUUUGUUUAAUGAGAAAAACAUACUUGACCACAAAUAGCCUACCUUGUGAGAAGAGCGAGUAUUUGCUAACCCACUUGAGCCAAAUGAAUCAAGGUCCUCAAUCAUGAACUGUCAAUUCAUAAGCACAAUGCUU